rnacentral:rRNA from 1 species
UACGUAGGAGGCGAGCGUUGUCCGGAAUUACUGGGCGUAAAGAGCGCGUAGGCGGCACGGUACGACCGGUGUGAAAGCCCCCGGCUCAACUGGGGAGGGUCACCGGUAACGGUCGAGCUAUGAGUGCAGGAGAGGGAAGUGGAACUCCGGGAGUAGCGGUGAAAUGCGUAGAGACCCGGAGGAACACCAGUGGCGAAGGCGGCUUCCUGGUCUGCGACUGACGCUGUGGCGCGAAAGCUAGGGGAGCAAACGGG